rnacentral:rRNA from 1 species
UGGGGAAUUUUGGACAAUUGGCGCAAGCCUGAUCCAGCCAUGCCGCGUGCGGGAAGAAGGCCUUCGGGUUGUAAACCGCUUUUGUCAGGGAAGAAAUCCUUUGAGCUAAUACCUCGGGGGGAUGACGGUACCUGAAGAAUAAGCACCUGCUAACUACGUGCCAGCAGCCGCGGUAAUACGUAGGGUGCAAGCGUUAAUCGGAAUUACUGGGCGUAAAGCGUGCGCAGGCGGUUAUGUAAGACAGAGGUGAAAUCCUCGGGCUCAAACUGGGAACGGCCUUUGUGACUGCAUAGCUAGAGUACGGUAGAGGAGGAUGGAAUUCCGCGUGUAGCAGUGAAAUGCGUAGAUAUGCGGAGGAACACCGAUGGCGAAGGCAAUCCCCUGGACCUGUACUGACGCUCAUGCACGAAAGCGUGGGUAGCAAACA